GCAGCGCUUGAGCCGCUGCUGGUCCGCUCUGGGCUCGGCGCCAGCCCGGCCGCCGGUGCACACUCACGGGUCCCGGCCCGGCGGCCCGCUCCGCGGUGACUGCGGGUGCGCGGCGGGCGAGGGUCCCGGCAGGUCCCGCCGCCGCGACUCGGGCGCUGCGCCGCCGUCGCUGCAGACGGUUAUGGUAAUGAGCGGCUCUGUCUAGCGAGCAGCGUGUGAAACCCGUCAAUCCUGUUUGCCAUUUCCCCGUGGAUUUCCGAGGAGAGGUUCUGCAGGAUGCCCCCAGGUGAUCCUCCGACAGUGAAAAACCAAACCUCUGGCUGCCUGGCACCCUAGGAAUCAAGAAGACGCACAGACUGAAAAUCAAGGGAGGAAGGAACAAGAUCAAGGAUGAGGAUUAGCAUCUGCAAAUUGAACUCUAUCUAAUUUGCAUGUUUAUUUCUUAGAAUUGUAAUUAAAUUUGUGUAAUAAAUGUUUUCCAUUUCAUUUGUACACUUAAAACUUGGGUGACUGACAUGCAGUUAAGUGAAUUUCCUUUUUUUUUUUUUUAAGCAAAUGUAGUUUAUUCAAUAAAGUAGCAAACCAAUAUUAAACAUUAUUAGAACUAA